CCCAGUAGUUACAGUGUCAGUGGAAAAAGUUAGUAAAAAUUUACAAAUUUUAUGAAAAUUGUUAAAAACUAACUAUAAAGGGCAACAACUCCUUAGGGGGUCAAUUGACCAUUUUGGUCAUGAUGUUCAUUUUUAGGUUGUACUUUGCUGUACAUAAUUGCUGUUUACAGUUUAUAUCUAUCUAUAAUAAUAUUCAAGAUAAUAACCAAAAACGGCAAAAUGCCUUAAAAUUACCAAUUCAGGGACAGCAACCUGAAAUCAUCUGAA
rnacentral:lncRNA from 1 species